UACGUAGGGUGCGAGCAUUGUCCGGAAUUAUUGGGCGUAAAGAGCUCGUAGGCGGCUUGUCGCGUCGGAUGUGAAAGCCCGGGGCUUAACUUCGGGUCUGCAUUCGAUACGGGCAGGCUAGAGUUCGGUAGGGGAGAUCGGAAUUCCUGGUGUAGCGGUGAAAUGCGCAGAUAUCAGGAGGAACACCGGUGGCGAAGGCGGAUCUCUGGGCAUGUUCUGACGCUGAGGAGCGAAAGUGUGGGGAGCGAACAGG
rnacentral:rRNA from 1 species